rnacentral:rRNA from 1 species
UACGAAGGGGCUAGCGUUGCUCGGAAUCACUGGGCGUAAAGGUGCGUAGGCGGGUCUUUAAGUCAGGGUGAAAUCCUGGAGCUCAACUCCAGAACUGCCUUUGAUACUGAGGAUCUUGAGUUCGGAGAGGUGAGUGGACUGCGAGUGUAGAGGUGAAAUUCGUAGAUAUUCGCAAGAACACCAGUGGCGAAGGCGGCUCACUGGCCCGAUACUGACGCUGAUGCACGAAAGCGUGGGGAGCAAACAGG